UAGUCUGGCCACGCCCUCCCAUACUUCGUAUAUGGUCGGGUGAACUUGCAAUGAACAGUUCGUGCAGACACCCCAAGAUUUUCUUGGGGUGUGAAACCGCUCGUCAAGUGCCUUGUGGGCCGUUGUGGCCUGUUGUGUAAACUGUUACGUAAGCUAUUGCAUCACGAAAAAGUAGCUAGAUAUGGGCCUCUACUGCUGUUUGUGUGCGAAUGAGUCUCUGGCCGGACAACCGAAGGCAAAAGAAGCUCAAUGGUCAUAGCUGUUCUGAAGCAAGAGAAGUACUUGUGCAGCUCCUUCCAGUACCUCUGCAUUGCAUCCCUGAAACUAGUGCUAGUGACAGUAUAAUUAUUGUGUCACCAGUGCGAGAAACAACUGAAGAAUGUCCAUGCUCAACAAGAAAAGCUAUGCAAGGUAAAGAAGGAAGCAACAGAGCUAAUAAAUGGUCUGCUUUCAAGACAUGCAGAAGAUAACUUAUUACCACCACCGCCAAAAAGAAGUAGAGUUAUGCAGGAACCCCCCACACCACCCAUUCCAUCAUCUGUUUCAGUACCAACCAUUCCAUCAGUGUCAGCAGCAACCAUUCCAUCAGCGUCAGCAGCAACCAUUCCACCGGUGUACGUGUCAGCAGCAAUCAUUCCACCAGUGUCAGCAGCAACCAUUCCAUCAGCGUCAGCAGCAAUGUCAGCAGCUAAUCUACGAACAACUGCAGCCACUCAGCUACCAUCAUCUCAGAUACCGCAAAGCAGCUCUAAUUUGCCCAGUUUUGAGGUUGUAGUACCCUAUUCGCAGCAGACCCGAAAGUACAUUAUCAAAACUCUGACUCGACAGACUGCCAUUAGGCGUUUGGUCCGAAAGAGUUACACCGCUCUUACCUCUGGUACCGUAAACUCUCCUAGGGCAAAGAGGGCAUUGUUAUCACAGUUGGCACUGACAAUCAAAAAUGAGAUGAAGAAGAUAGGUACAAAUAAACAUGAUUCAAUUUUAAGGGACAACAAUGAAGCAGUGAAACGAUUCAGCUGGGAGACAGUGAGAUUGGAGCUUUAUAAGAUGGUUCCAACUCUCAUGUCACUGCUUUCGCUGCUGAUACCAAACCCAGAAAACCGUAUACCCCCUUAUUUGCACUAUUGCAUCCCAAUUGUUGAAGUGCAGGCAUCAACAACUAUUGUUAGUCCAGAGGGUUGUUUCCGUCAUGUUGUAUGGAGAUGGAACUCACAAGCAGGUGUUCAGCAGUCUGCAGCCACUGAACUUAUGCCUCUCCCACAAAAGAUCGCUGAACAUUGUGAGAGGUAUUUCUCAAGACUAUGACGCAAAUAGUAUUGCUUGUGAGGGUUGUCCAUCCCUGCCACUACGCCCAGUUUCUUGUACAUACUCCUCAACUGAUGAAGGCAUACCCCAAUGAAUAAUGGUUCGUACGUCUGGGCAGUCAAUACCCA